GACGUAGGAGGCGAGCGUUGUCCGGAUUCAUUGGGCGUAAAGAGCACGCAGGCGGUUUGGCAAGUCGGACGUGGAAAUCCGGGGCUCAACCCCGGACCUGCAUCCGAAACUGCCCGACUAGAGGUAGGUAGGGGAGAUCGGAAUUCCUGGUGUAGCGGUGAAAUGCGCAGAUAUCAGGAGGAACACCGGUGGCGAAGGCGGAUCUCUGGGCCUUACCUGGCGCUCAGGAGCGAAAGUGUGGGGAGCGAACAGG
rnacentral:rRNA from 1 species